UUGGAACUGAGACACGGUCCAAACUCCUACGGGAGGCAGCAGUGAGGAAUAUUGGUCAAUGGACGAGAGUCUGAACCAGCCAAGUAGCGUGCAGGAUGACGGCCCUAUGGGUUGCAAACUGCUUUUAUAAGGGAAUAAAGUGAGUCUCGUGAGACUUUUUGCAUGUACCUUAUGAAUAAGGACCGGCUAAUUCCGUGCCAGCAGCCGCGGUAAUACGGAAGGUCCGGGCGUUAUCCGGAUUUAUUGGGUUUAAAGGGAGCGUAGGCCGGAGAUUAAGCGUGUUGUGAAAUGUAGAUGCUCAACAUCUGCACUGCAGCGCGAACUGGUUUCCUUGAGUACGCACAAAGUGGGCGGAAUUCGUGGUGUAGCGGUGAAAUGCUUAGAUAUCACGAAGAACUCCGAUUGCGAAGGCAGCUCACUGGAGCGCAACUGACGCUGAAGCUCGAAAGUGCGGGUAUC
rnacentral:rRNA from 1 species